rnacentral:rRNA from 1 species
GUCCACGCCCUAAACGAUGCAUAUUUGGUGUGGGUCAUUCAGUUGAUCCGUGCCGGAGCUAACGCGUUAAAUAUGCCGCCUGGGGAGUACAGUCGCAAGGCUGAAACUCAAAGGAAUUGACGGGGGCCCGCACAAGCGGUGGAGCAUGUGGUUCAAUUCGACGCAACGCGAAGAACCUUACCUGGGCUCGAACGGCUGGUUAACGGCUUUGGAAACAGAGCUACUCCGCAAGGAGGUCCAGUCGAGGUGCUGCAUGGCUGUCGU